rnacentral:lncRNA from 1 species
UCGCGCUUUGUUAAAGUUUGGCCGAUCAGCACCAUGCCAGCACUCCAUUCCAAUUGGCUAUUCAAGCUUAAAGAUGUUGAGGGAAUUGCAUCUGGAGGGUGCAAACUUGGACAUGUUUCCUGCAGACAUUGAAGAACUAUUGUUGUUGAGGUACUUGUGUUUGAGGAAUACAGGAAUCAGAAGCAUUCCGAAAUCAAUAGGAAAGCUUAAGCACCUUGAAACCUUGGACCUCAAACAAACAUUAGUCAGAACGCUGCCAAAAGAAAUAUGCCAUCUUUCUAAGCUUCGUUACUUACUUGUUUACAGAUAUGACAAUGAAGAUUAUGUGGCAUUUAACACAAUUAAAGGAUUUGAGGUCGCAGGAGAGAUCACGUGGUCGGCCAAUCUUCGCAAGCUACUGUUUGUGCAAGUCAAUAAAAAUCACAAAAUCAUUGUUGCAAUGCGAGGCCUCAGAGAACUAAGAAGGCUGGGAAUCAUGGGUUUGCGCAAAGAAGAUGGAAGGAUCUUGUCUGAGACCAUUCAAAUGCUGCCAAAUUUGCAUU